UGCUCUGUGCAAAGAGGCAACGUAUGAUCAGAAGCGGCAUGUGAGCCGGCGCAUCAGAUGCUUUCCUGUUCCGUGAUGUGAAAGCCCCAAGAUGAACAAAAAAUAAAAACCGGCCCAUAAUUCUUUCCAAUUUUUUCACUUCAGAGACUCAUUUGAAGAAUACUGAAGACCAUUUUUACACUUCACUCACAUGCAGACUGAAGAAAUCUUUUUCUGAGCAAGUAAAGAAGUCUCUAAAACAAAUCAAAGAUGUGAGCACUGAGCACAGAAAACUAAUUAACUUAAGGCAAGUAACCGAGAAAAAUUAAUGCUGAACUGGGGGUAGUUCAAAGACUUCAAGGGUAAUAGUUUAAAAUGAAGCAGUUAUAGCCUUGAAUAGUUAA